rnacentral:lncRNA from 1 species
UAUUUUUGUGCACUUACUGUCUGCUCCACCAAGUUGAUUAACGGCUUCUAUAAACCUCUCAUGGAGGUCUGGUGUCCAUUUCAAUCUUGGCUUGGCAUCUGUUGACAGGACAAGCCCUGAGUCCCCGUUGCCAUUUCCACCUUGCAGGAACAGAUGUCUUUCAGAGAUAGACAUUCUUGUUGAAGGGUGCAUGCUCUUAUCCUGGCGGUGAUGAUGGUACAUCUUCUGGCCUUCUGUAUGAUUAUUAGCAAUUAAGUUUUGUGGUGCGAGUUAAUAGGCACGAUAUAAGUAAUUUAACUAAUUAUAAUGUACCUGAAAGUGAUCUGCUGUACUUGGUUUCAGUCUAGUCUUACCCUUUAGAUGCAAAUCAUGAUUCUUCUGUAUUAUUCUUCAGAGAACAAUUCUGCUUCUGAUACUCAGUUCAAGAAAACUGUACUACUGCUCUUAUCUAUCUCCUUAGUUGUACAACUUCACAGACCAAAGAUGUUUCCAAAGAGCUCUUAUAAGAGAAUGGGGUGAGAAAGAGAGAGGGAGUCUAGGUGAAGUAUAGAAUCUUGGACAGGGCCAGUUGAACGCUAGAACCAAUCGAAUCUUCACAGCCGGCUCAAAAAGAGAUCUCAUCCUUCCAGUUUUACAUAUUUGUGGGCCCUAGCAUGUUAUUCCUCUGCACUAUAACUUGCUUGAAACACUUCACACCUUACAAUGGGUACAAGAAUUUAUCCGCCAGAGACUUUUAUGUUCUCAUAUUCUUUAUCUGGCAAAGUUUGGGAACCAUAUUCCCAGAAUUAAAUUUGGAAUUUUUUUUCUGAUAUUGACUGAAAGUAUCCACUAUCUAAUGAUGUAUGAUCUCUUGAAAACUUCAAAACCGUUUCCCUUUCAAAGGGAAGAUUCUGUUGACCAGAGCUUCAAGUACUUUGUAUUGGAUAAAAAAACAAAGCAAAGAGAUAGGGAAAUGGUUGAGAGAUGCUUCUAUUAUUUCAUGUCAAAAUAAAAAGACUAAUACAUUUCUCUCUAUAAACCUCUGUUAGUUUACUAUGGCCAUGUAAAGAAUUAGUUGAGGCAGCAUUUCCUAUAUGCAUUUUUAUUCUAUUACAUCGACUAUACUCUGCCUUGGGUAAAAAGAAGUUAAUGAUUUUAGAUGAGACUUUCAUGCAAUAUCUUGCUCCUUUGUUUAGUGAUAUGAACUUUUGGAAUAUCUUGAGCAUUAUUUUCAGUCUAUGCUAUUUUAACAUAUCAUGUUUGAGUAACUAAAAAGGAAUACGAUAAAAAGGUAAAAGGAAAUUGUGGAGAGAUGCUUCUCCUUGGCUUUGUUUGAAGGCCAGGAAUAUUGGAAUAAGGAUCAAAUACCUUUUUGUCUCCUUCAGUAAGUUUGGUACUUAUUCGGCCUGCAUAUAUAGAACUAAAAUAGAGGGAGACCUCCAGUACGUUAGAUAUUUCCUAUUCUUUAAUUGGUGUAAGACAGCCAUCUCCAAGGCAUUGGGACCCCUUUGAAAGGAGAAAUAAAGUGAUAUUACUUGCUUCCGUAGUCGCUUGAUGGAAAACAUGUCAACUCAUUUGCUCGAAGAUGACUACUUGUCUUUCCCUUGACUUGAGCCUUAAUUUGCUCUAGAGAAUAUAAUAGUUACUUUACAUUCUUUUGUGCCCGUUUAAUUUUUAAUAAACAUGUAUAGAUACCUGUCAGUUUUCCUGUCAUAGUUUAUUGUCAGACACAAACUUGAGAUCUCAAUUUUUCGCCUUGCUAAUUCAAUUUCUAGUUCACUUCUAAAAACUAAUAACACCAUAGAUUUCCCUUUUUUUUUUGUUGUUGUUGUUUCAUAGAUUUGUGCUCAUUUGUUUCUUCCUUUUUUUUUUUUUUUUGUGGAGGGAAAACUAGGGAAUUUAAACUUAGUUGUUUAUGAAGGGCUUCGUCUCUUUUGCACCUUUUCCUUGUUAACAUUGCAAUGAUACAUCUAAUCUGCUGUAUUUUUGUAUUGGUCAGCAAGUUGAACAAAUCACGAUUGCAUAGUUAGGAAAUGACUCUUGGGGUCAAAAAGAUAUCUUUUGGAUAAAUCUCAGGGGUUUGCAGGACUGUUUGUUAUCUAAGGUUAAUUAUUUUCUAUCUUGAUAUCAAAUAAGUGAAAAUUCCUCAUCUCUGAACAAGGUAUACACAUCAGUUGUCAGUUGAACUUUCAAGAAAAAGAUCAACUGAUUCUGAUAUCUUAGGGUAUUUUAUGCGCUUUGGAGGAAUAUAUUACAACCUUUAGGUAAAGUGGUAUAGGUAUAAAGCAGAGUUCCCUUAUACUGUUUUGCUGGCAUGUGGAUAGGAAUGAAAUGAGGAUGUGCAUUGUUAGCUGUAUGAGUUGCAUUGGACUAUUAUAUUGUACUAAAAUCAAUAAAUUUAUGGAGUUAAUUUUUUUUGGUUAGGUUCAACCAUAUGAUAUCCGGAACCCAUUAGCUCAUCUAAUCCAAAUGUGCGUAGCAGAGACCCAUUUAAGGGAGAAGCGUUCCCUACCGGAAAUUUCUUCAAUCCCAGGUUUGAACUCGAGACCUCUUGUUAGUAUUUAUCUGACCUAACUGUCUUGUUAUAGUGUUGUUCAUCUCACCAUACUGUCUUUAACAAUUCUUUGUCUUUUUAUUUUUUAUUUUUUUUGUCAUUCUCAGUUUCCCUUCUGUUAUGGUAAAGUAGAUUUUCUAAUUGAUGAUGUGCAAGAUCUAAUAGUUGCUUUACGUUGCUAUACCAAACUGAAUAAUAUUUCAUCGUUUUAUUUUACAGAAAGGUAUUUGGCUGAGCACGAAACUUAAGAUAUUAGUUUAACUUAUAUGUAUGAUGUUAGUGAUGAUGGAAGCAAUACUAAAAGAUAUAAGUUGAUAAGCUAGUUUUUUAUUUUUUUUAAAUGCAAAAAAAGAAGAGAACAUUAAAAUGGAGUAACUUAAUUUAUUUGAAUUUUUGAAAGCUGUGAAUUUUAUAGAAAUGGAAGGAUAACAAACAUUUCAAAACAUUUUAAAUUUCUUUUUUUUUUAAAUAAAAAAGUAUAAAAGUGAAACAGAAGAAGUAUAAACAUGCAAUAGCAAUCGUUUUAUGUCUCUCUGAAUAACCCAAAUACUCUUUUCUAUUAAUGGUACACUAAAAGUACUUAAUUUGCUUUUCCUUGAUGUUGCCAAAAAGCAAUGACUGCUGUUCCUCUGUUUUGUAAGACAUGCAGAAGAACCCUUUGCCUUUGCUAUUCCAAUCUAUCUUCUUCUUCCUCGUCUCUUUUGUUGCUUUCUUUAUUCUAUUUUCAUGAUAUAUAUUCUCCACUUUAAUGAAGAGAACAUGUGCUGUUGUUCUUUCUUGUACUUGCAUUUCCUUUUUAAAGCUCUUAGAUUGAGUUAAUUUUACUUUGAAGUACAAGAUGAAUCUCACAUUUAAAAAAAAAAAUUAAAGAAAAAGAAAGAGCAUUUCGAAUCAACUUAGGGGCUAUGGUGGAAGAGUUAGUCAAUGCCUGAUCUGUAACGUACGCAGAAUUUUGUGUGAGCAAUGCCGACUUAUUAUCAUCUCAACUUAUAUUUGAGUCAGGAUUUGGAGUUGUAGUUGUUUUAAGAAUUUACUCAUUGUCCCAAAUUAAUGUUUGAUCUAUAAUAUAUACACAUAAUUUUCAAUAUUUAUGUGUUUGAAUUUUUUCGACGAAGCGGUGUCAGAUAACACUCUCGUACAAGGGUAUCUCUGCCACUGUGCAUUAUUAAUAAAGACACGCACAUUUCUAAUUGGUGCCUGCUUGUUGACCCCAGGGUGAAGACACUGGCUCAAAAUAAAAGGAAAUCAAUGACCACGGAAUGAUAUUCCUUAUGGGGAAAAGGACUUGGGGUUUAAGAUAAAAGUCAGAUUCUGAGGAAUGGAAUUUCAGAAUCUUAACUCAAAACCAAAGCAAUGGACGUAUUCUCAAGUCAAGAAUUUCUUCGUUAUUCUUUUCCUUUUCUAGGCCACGGAAAAUGGAUUCCGAA